GCAGGAGCCGAGCUAUCGAAUGCCGCUUCGCAAGUUGCAUCAGAGUUGCAGCGGCUGCCUCGCCACCAUUAACGUAACUGCAAGUUUAAACGCUUGCUUCGUUGUUGUUUGUGUGCUAUUAUGGUUUUUCUCAUCUGCAUGAUGUCUUUUAAUUUGCAGAUAGAGUGGUUGCCAAAUGGAAGCUUUCAUGAAGUGGAGAAGACAUCAAGCAAUGCUCUCUGUUAGAUGCAGAUUAAGGUGAGGUUUCAAAAUCGUAUUGUCUGUAUCAACUCUAAAUUAUGCCAUUUGCUUUCUGUGACCAAUCGGAUCUGAUUCUGCUGUGUGCUGCACUUCUCUUUUCUCCUAC
rnacentral:lncRNA from 1 species